rnacentral:rRNA from 2 species
UGCAGUCGAACGGAAAGGCCCUGCUUGCAGGGUACUCGAGUGGCGAACGGGUGAGUAACACGUGGGUGAUCUGCCUCGUACUUCGGGAUAAGCCUGGGAAACUGGGUCUAAUACCGGAUAGGACCUUCUUUUAGUGUGGAAGGUGGAAAGUUUUUCGGUACGAGAUGAGCCCGCGGCCUAUCAGCUUGUUGGUGGGGUAAUGGCCUACCAAGGCGACGACGGGUAGCCGGCCUGAGAGGGUGUACGGCCACAUUGGGACUGAGACACGGCCCAGACUCCUACGGGAGGCAGCAGUGGGGAAUAUUGCACAAUGGGCGCAAGCCUGAUGCAGCGACGCCGCGUGAGGGAUGACGGCCUUCGGGUUGUAAACCUCUUUCGCUAGGGAAGAAGCCACUUUUGUGGUGACGGUACCUGGAUAAGAAGCACCGGCUAACUACGUGCCAGCAGCCGCGGUAAUACGUAGGGUGCAAGCGUUGUCCGGAAUUACUGGGCGUAAAGAGCUCGUAGGUGGUUUGUCGCGUCGUCUGUGAAAGCCCGGGGCUUAACUCCGGGUCUGCAGGCGAUACGGGCAUAACUAGAGUGCUGUAGGGGAGACUGGAAUUCCUGGUGUAGCGGUGAAAUGCGCAGAUAUCAGGAGGAACACCGAUGGCGAAGGCAGGUCUCUGGGCAGUAACUGACGCUGAGGAGCGAAAGCAUGGGGAGCGAACAGGAUUAGAUACCCUGGUAGUCCAUGCCGUAAACGGUGGGC